rnacentral:rRNA from 1 species
AGUGAACGCUGGCGGCGUGCCUAAUACAUGCAAGUCGAACGGAGUGGCGAACGGGUGAGUAAUAUAUAGCUAAUCUGCACCUUGAUGGAGGACAACAGUUAGGAAUGACAGCUAAUACUCCAUAGAAAGGGAUGAGACUAAAUCGUAUCAGCUAGUCGGGUGGGUAACGGCCUACCGAGGCAAUGACGCGUAAAUGGUCUGCGAGGAGGAUCAGUCAAAUGGGAAGUUAGACACGGUCCAAACUCCUACGGGAGGAAGCAGUAGGGAAUAUUGCGCAAUGGGGGAAACCCUGACGCAGCAACGCCGCGUGGAGGAUGACACUUUUCGGAGCGUAAACUCCUUUUGUUAGGGAAGCGGUACCUAACGAAUAAGCACGGGCUAACUCCGUGCCAGCAGCCGCGGUAAUUC